rnacentral:rRNA from 1 species
AGUGAACGCUGGCGGUAGGCCUAACACAUGCAAGUCGAACGGCAGCACAGUAAGAGCUUGCUCUUACGGGUGGCGAGUGGCGGACGGGUGAGGAAUACAUCGGAAUCUACUUUUUCGUGGGGGAUAACGUAGGGAAACUUACGCUAAUACCGCAUACGACCUACGGGUGAAAGCAGGGGAUCUUCGGACCUUGCGCGAUUGAAUGAGCCGAUGUCGGAUUAGCUAGUUGGCGGGGUAAAGGCCCACCAAGGCGACGAUCCGUAGCUGGUCUGAGAGGAUGAUCAGCCACACUGGAAAUGAGACACGGUCCAGACUCCUACGGGAGGCAGCAGUGGGGAAUAUUGGACAAUGGGCGCAAGCCUGAUCCAGACAUACCGCGUGGGUGAAGAAGGCCUUCGGGUUGUAAAGCCCUUUUGUUGGGAAAGAAAAGCAGCAGGUUAAUACCCCGCUGUUCUGACGGUACCCAAAGAAUAAGCACCGGCUAACUUCGUG